rnacentral:rRNA from 1 species
ACGGGGGGAGCAAGCGUUGUUCGGAUUCACUGGGCGUAAAGGGUGCGUAGGUGGCCAUGAAAGUCUGAUGUGAAAUCUCCGGGCUUAACCCGGAAAAGGCAUUGGAUACUAUGUGGCUGGAGGUUUGGAGGGGGGACUGGAAUUCUCGGUGUAGCAGUGAAAUGCGUAGAUAUCGAGAGGAACACCAGUGGCGAAGGCGGGUCCCUGGACAACACCUGACACUGAGGCACGAAAGCUAGGGGAGCAAACAGGA